CAGUCGCCGCGGUAAAACGGAGGGAGCUAGCGUUAUUCGGAAUUACUGGGCGUAAAGCGCACGUAGGCGGCUUUGUAAGUAAGAGGUGAAAGCCCGGAGCUCAACUCCGGAACUGCCUUUUAGACUGCAUCGCUUGAAUCCAGGAGAGGUGAGUGGAAUUCCGAGUGUAGAGGUGAAAUUCGUAGAUAUUCGGAAGAACACCAGUGGCGAAGGCGACUCUCUGGUCUGUAACUGACGCUGAGGAGCGAAAGCGUGGGGAGCGAACAGGAUUAGAUACCCCCGUAGUCCCUGUCUCUUAUAC
rnacentral:rRNA from 1 species